rnacentral:rRNA from 1 species
UACGGAGGUGCGAGCGUUGUCCGGAAUCACUGGGCGUAAAGGGCGCGUAGGCGGCCUGAUAAGUAGGGGGUGAAAUCCUGCGGCUUAACCGCAGGGCUGCCUUCUAAACUGUCAGGCUAGAGCACAGUAGAGGCAGGUGGAAUUCCCGGUGUAGCGGUGGAAUGCGUAGAGAUCCGGAAGAACACCGGAGGCGAAGGCGGCUUGCUGGGCGUAGUCGUGACGCUGAGGCGCGAAAGCGUGGGGAGCGAACGAGG